GACAGAGGUGCCGAGCGUUAGGCGGAAUCACUGGGCUUAAAGCGUGUGUAGGCGGGCGGGCAAGUACCUUGUGAAAUCCCACGGCUCAACCGUGGAACGGCUGGGUAUACUGCCUGUCUUGAGCCAACUAGGGGCGAGCGGAACAGACGGUGGAGCGGUGAAAUGCGUAGAUAUCGGAAGGAACACCAGUGGCGAAAGCGGCUUCCUGGUCCAGCACCGACGUUCAGGCACGAAAGCGUGGGGAGCAAACAGG
rnacentral:rRNA from 1 species